rnacentral:rRNA from 1 species
CACCAGACUCCUACGGGAGGCAGCAGUAGGGAAUCUUCCACAAUGGGCGCAAGCCUGAUGGAGCAACACCGCGUGAGUGAAGAAGGGUUUCGGCUCGUAAAGCUCUUUUGUUGGAGAAGAACGUGCGUGAGAGUAACUGUUCACGCAGUGACGGUAUCCAACCAGAAAGUCACGGCUAACUACGUGCCAGCAGCCGCGGUAAUACGUAGGUGGCAAGCGUUAUCCGGAUUUAUUGGGUUUAAAGGGUGCGCAGGCGGGGCCACAAGCCAGCGGAAAAAUCGGGGGGCUCACCCCCGCUCCGCCGUUGAAACUGUGUCCCUUGAGUGCGCGAAGGGUAGGCGGAAUGCGCGGUGUAGCGGUGAAAUGCAUAGAUAUCACGCAGAACUCCGAUCGCGAAGGCAGCCUACCGGCGCGCAACUGACGCUCAUGCACGAAAGCGUGGGUAUCGAACAGGAUUAGAUACCCGGGUA